AUUCCCCAAGGAGUCACUUGGCGCCGUCGCCGUCGCCGCAUCUGCUAAACGUCAGGAGCAUAAAAACUUGAAAGGAGGUCUUCCUUUCUUGUUUCCUCUUAAUAUUUCUCGAAAACCCAUACACUAAGAUCUUCUCAACA
ensembl:ncRNA H30A04.3 ncRNA